GACGAACGCUGGCGGCGUGCUUAACACAUGCAAGUCGAACGGGCCUUGUCCCCUUUUUUUUUGGGGGUGGGGUUAGUGGCGAACGGGUGAGUAACACGUGAGUAACCUGCCCCUCACUUCUGGAUAACCGCUUGAAAGGGUGGCUAAUACGGGGUGUUCUGGCCUGCUCGCAUGGGUGGGUUUGGAAAGAUUCGACCGGUUUUGGUUGUUUUGGUGGGGGAUGGGCUCGCGGCCUAUCAGCUUGUUGGUGGGGUGAUGGCCUGCCAAGGCUUUGACUGGUAGCCGGCCUGAGAGGGUGGGCGGUCACACUGGGACUGAGACACGGCCCAGACUCCUACGGGAGGCAGCAGUGGGGAAUAUUGCACAAUGGGCGCAAGCCUGAUGCAGCGACGCCGCGUGAGGGAUGGAGGCCUUCGGGUUGUGAACCUCUUUCGCCAGUGAAGAAGGUCCUGCUCUUUGUGGUGGGGUUGACGGUAGCUGGGUUAAUGAAGCGCCGGCUAACUACGUG
rnacentral:rRNA from 1 species